rnacentral:lncRNA from 1 species
UGCCACGUUCUAGACUCGUUGUGAGUAUUCAUAUACUACAACAAGCAACUAACUAUUCAAUUGAUGGCCAAACAAUUCAAUAGUGCAAUGGGAAUGCAAAAUUAAUCAAGAAACACAGGAAUUAAACUAAAUUACUUGACUUGAACUAGAAAUAAAUAAACAAUAGGGUUCGUCCCAUCCAAUACAUGAAGGAAAUUAGCCUAGCAUAUUAUUGAAAUUAAACGCAUAAAAGUAGAACGAUAUCACCGAGAAAUAGAUGAUUCGUAAUUAAUUUCAAUUAUACUCGAGUAGUCCGUGGCUUCCUCGUGUUUGCCAUCUUCGGGUCUCUUGAUUUCUGUCUGCGUAAUUUCCCCGUUUUGUUCCCAACGUAGCCGACAAUCGCCAAUCUCCAAUCUGCCUCCUUGCUUUUGUGUGAGAAUUGAGAUGUAUAUUAUAUAAUUUAGCCCACAAUUCUCUCCUCCACAUCAGCGUUUUCUAAGUAUAUAAAUUCAGCUACUGCCAAUUUCUUUUUCUUCCCUCCUACUUUGGUUUUCUGUGUGGGUUUGUAAUUUAUUCCCAGCCGUUUUCUCAAUCUGUGGGCGUGUAUUUGUGUAAAAUAAAAUUCCUUCCCAGCAGCUGCGUUUUGUGGGAAGUAUAUAUGUAUAUAAGUCACUUUGCAGCCCACCAAUUUCUCUACCAGCAGCUGGCCGAAUUAUUAAUCCCAAAUCUAGCCGACUUUAUGAAAUUCCGCCACUCAAUUUUUCGGCCCCUUCAAUCUGUUGCCGCCGACUUGAAUAAUCCCCAAAAAGGGAUUCUAAUUUUCCCCCACGGCUCUCUUCUUCUUUGUUGCAUGUGCUUGUAUAUAUACCUCAACAAUUAAGCCCUUGUUGUAGCCCAAUU